rnacentral:rRNA from 1 species
AUCAUAUGCUUGUCUCAAAGAUUAAGCCAUGCAUGUCUAAGUACGAGCACUUGUACUGUGAAACUGCGAAUGGCUCAUUAAAUCAGUUAUCGUUUAUUUGAUCGUACCAUUACUACAUGGAUAACCGUAGUAAUUCUAGAGCUAAUACAUGCGAAAAGUCCCGACUUCUGGAAGGGAUGUAUUUAUUAGAUUAAAAACCAAUGCGGGUUCGCGCCCGGUCAUUUGGUGAUUCAUAGUAACUAUUCGAAUCGCAUGGCCUUUGCGCCGGCGAUGAUGCAUUCAAAUUUCUGCCCUAUCAACUGUCGAUGGUAAUGUAGUGGCUUACCAUGGUUGCAACGGGUGACGGAGAAUUAGGGUUCGAUUCCGGAGAGGGAGCCUGAGAAACGGCUACCACAUCCAAGGAAGGCAGCAGGCGCGAAAAUUACCCAAUCCUGACGCAGGGAGGUAGUGACGAAAAAUAACAAUACAUGGCUUUUCAAGUCUUGUAAUUGGAAUGAGUACAAUUUAAACCUCUUAACGAGGAACAAUUGGAGGGCAAGUCUGGUGCCAGCAGCCGCGGUAAUUCCAGCUCCAAUAGCGUAUACUAAUGUUGUUGCAGUUAAAAAGCUCGUAGUUGGAUUUCGGGAGGGUGCGGUCGGUCAGCCGCAAGGUAUGUCACUGGCCUUCUUCGCAAAGACUGUUCGUGCUCUUAGCUGAGUGUGUAGAGGAUUCGCGACGUUUACUUUGAA